rnacentral:rRNA from 1 species
UACGUAGGGUGCAAGCGUUAAUCGGAAUUACUGGGCGUAAAGCGUGCGCAGGCGGUUUUGUAAGUCUGAUGUGAAAUCCCCGGGCUCAACCUGGGAACUGCAUUGGAGACUGCAAGGCUAGAGUGUGUCAGAGGGGGGUAGAAUUCCACGUGUAGCAGUGAAAUGCGUAGAGAUGUGGAGGAAUACCGAUGGCGAAGGCAGCCCCCUGGGAUAACACUGACGCUCAUGCACGAAAGCGUGGGGAGCAAACAGG